AACGAACGCUGGCGGCGUGGAUAAGACAUGCAAGUCGAACGCUUGUCGUGGAGUAGCAAUAUUUUGCGGCAGGAGUGGCGUAAGGGUGCGUAACACGUGGGUCAUUUGCCGCGAAGCUGGGAAUAACUCGUUGAAAGACGAGCUAAUACCCAAUGAAUCCUUGGUGGACUAAAGGUGGGGAUCUUCGGACCUGCCGCUUCAUGAUAAGCCCGCGGCCUAUCAGCUUGUUGGUGAGGUAAAAGCUCACCAAGGCUAAGACGGGUAACUGGUCUGAGAGGACGGUCGGUCACACUGGAACUGAGACACGGUCCAGACACCUACGGGUGGCAGCAGUCGAGAAUCAUUCACAAUGGGCGAAAGCCUGAUGGUGCGACGCCGCGUGGGGGAUGAAGUGCUUCGGUAUGUAAACCCCUGUCAUCUGCGAGCAAACCUUUUCGGUUAACACCUGGAAAGCUGAUAGUAGCAGAAGAGGAAGGGACGGCUAACUCUGUGCCAGCAGCCGCGGUAAUACAGAGGUCCCAAGCGUUGUUCGGAUUCACUGGGCGUAAAGGGUGCGUAGGUGGCGAGGUAAGUUCGGUGUGAAAUCUCCGAGCUCAACUCGGAAAUUGCACUGAAAACUGCCAAGCUCGAGGAUCGGAGGGGAGAGUGGAAUUCAUGGUGUAGCAGUGAAAUGCGUAGAUAUCAAGAGGAACACCGGUGGCGAAGGCGACUCUCUGGACGAUUCCUGACGCUGAGGCACGAAAGCUAGGGGAGCAAACAGGAUUAGAUACCCUGGUAGUCCUAGCCGUAAACGGUGUGCACUUGCUGUGGGCGGAAUCGACCCCGUUCGUGGCGUAGCUAACGUGUUAAGUGCACCGCCUGGGGAGUACGGUCGCAAGAUUAAAACUCAAAGAAAUUGACGGGGGCCUGCACAAGCGGUGGAGUAUGUGGCUUAAUUCGAUGCAACGCGAAGAACUUACCUGGGCCUUGACAUGCAGAUGGUAGAAGCUUGAAAGGGUGACGAUCCCGCAGGGGAAGUCUGCACAGGUGCUGCAUGGCUGUCGUCAGCUCGUGUCGUGAGAUGUUGGGUUAAGUCCCGCAACGAGCGCAACCCUCAUGUUCUGUUGCCACCCAAACGAGAGUUUGGAGCACUCCGAACAGACUGCCCCAUUUUAAUGGGGAGGAAGGUGGGGAUGACGUCAAGUCAGUAUGGCCCUUACGUCCAGGGCUGCACACGUACUACAAUGCCCGGCACAAUGGGAAGCAAGACCGCAAGGUGGAGCCAAUCCCCAAAACCGGGCUCAGUUCAGAUUGUCGGCUGCAACUCGCCGGCAUGAAGGUGGAAUCGCUAGUAAUGGCGCAUCAGCUACGGCGCCGUGAAUACGUUCCCAGGCCUUGUACACACCGCCCGUCACAUCAUGAAAGCCGACGGUACCCGAAGUCUGCGCGCUAACCCGCAAGGGAAGCGUGCCGAAGGUAUGGCUGGUGAUUGGGAUG
rnacentral:rRNA from 1 species